AAACCGGUUUUUAUGAAAACCAUAAUAAUAAUUUAGAAAACGAACU
rfam:Acyrthosiphon pisum strain LSR1 Contig28023, whole genome shotgun sequence.